rnacentral:rRNA from 1 species
GCUUGUCUCAAAGAUUAAGCCAUGCAUGUCUAAGUAUAAGCAAUUAUACCGCGAAACUGCGAAUGGCUCAUUAUAUAAGUUAUCGUUUAUUUGAUAAUACUUUACUACUUGGAUAACCGUGGUAAUUCUAGAGCUAAUACAUGCUAAAAAUCCCGACUUCGGAAGGGUUGUAUUUAUUAGAUUAAAAACCAAUGCCCCUCGGGGCUCUCUGGUGAAUCAUGAUAACUAGUCGAAUCGACAGGCCUUGUGCCGGCGAUGGCUCAUUCAAAUUUCUUCCCUAUCAACUUUCGAUGUUUGGGUAUUGGCCAAACAUGGUGGCAACGGGUAACGGAGGGUUAGGGCUCGACCCCGGAGAAGGAGCCUGAGAAACGGCUACCACAUCCAAGGAAGGCAGCAGGCGCGCAAAUUACCCAAUCCCGAUACGGGGAGGUAGUGACAAUAAAUACUGAUACGGGGCUCUUUUGGGUCUCGUAAUUGGAAUGAGAACAAUUUAAAUCCCUUAACGAGGAACAAUUGGAGG